UUUCUCAAAAGUGAGAUUACAAGUGGAUCAACUUUCAAAUGCAGUGUUUGAUAUACCAUUUUGUAGCUCUGAGUCUCUACUUUUAUAUCAUAAUUUUGCUACAUAAGACCGAAUCCGGGUGGUGAGUCAAUCCAGGUGGUGAGUUAUUCCGGGUGGUGAGUCAAUCCAGGUGGUGAGUUAUUCCGGGUGGUGAGUUAAUCCAGGUGGUGAGUUAUUCCGGGUGGUGAGUUAAUCCAGGUGGUGAGUUAUUCCGGGUGGUGAGUUAAUCCAGGUGGUGAGUUAAUCCAGGUGGUGAGUUAAUCCAGGUGGUGAGUUAUUCCGGGUGGUGAGUCAAUCCAGGUGGUGAGUUAUUCCGGGUGGUGAGUUAUUCCGGGUGGUGAGUUAUUCCGGGUGGUGAGUCAAUCCAGGUGGUGAGUUAUUCCGGGUGGUGAGUUAUUCCGGGUGGUGAGUUAUUCCGGGUGGUGAGUCAAUCCAGGUGGUGAGUCAAUCCAGGUGGUGAGUUAUUCCGGG
ensembl:lncRNA